rnacentral:rRNA from 1 species
AUUGAACGCUGGCGGGAGGCUUAACACAUGCAAGUCGAGCGAGUGGCGGACGGGUGAGUAAUAUAUGGGAAAGUGCCCGGUAGAGGGGGAUAACUACUGGAAAGGGUGGCUAAUACCGCAUACUAUUAGAGCUGCCGAUAUGGGAUUAGCUAGUUGGUGGGGUAAAGGCUCACCAAGGCGACGAUCCAUAGCUGGUCUGAGAGGAUGACCAGCCACACUGGGACUGAGACACGGCCCAGACUCCUACGGGAGGCAGCAGUGGGGAAUAUUGGACAAUGGGGGAAAGCCUGAUGCAGCCAUGCCGCGUGUAUGAUGAAGGCCUUCGGGUUGUAAAGCACUUUCAGCGGGGAGGCGUUACCCGCAGAAUAAGCACCGGCUAACUCCGUGCCAGCCGCCGCGGUAAUAC